AUUGAACGCUGGCGGCAUGCCUUACACAUGCAAGUCGAACGGUAACAGGUCUUCGGAUGCUGACGAGUGGCGAACGGGUGAGUAAUACAUCGGAACGUGCCCGAUCGUGGGGGAUAACGCAGCGAAAGCUGUGCUAAUACCGCAUACGAUCUACGGAUGAAAGCGGGGGAUCGCAAGACCUCGCGCGGACGGAGCGGCCGAUGGCAGAUUAGGUAGUUGGUGGGAUAAAAGCUUACCAAGCCGACGAUCUGUAGCUGGUCUGAGAGGACGACCAGCCACACUGGGACUGAGACACGGCCCAGACUCCUACGGGAGGCAGCAGUGGGGAAUUUUGGACAAUGGGCGCAAGCCUGAUCCAGCCAUGCCGCGUGCAGGAUGAAGGCCUUCGGGUUGUAAACUGCUUUUGUUACGGAACGAAAAGACUACUCUCUAAUACAGGGGUGGAAUGACGGUACCGUAAGAAUAAGCACCGGCUAACUAACGUGCCAGC
rnacentral:rRNA from 1 species